CGAUAUAUUAAUAGGUUGUGAGCUUUUAUAACCAUUCGCGGACACAGGAAGCUGUGUGUACCUGUUACGGAGAAGUUUACGAGAAGUACAGAUUGACACUGGACAGAAACGAUGGUGUGACUGCUAAUAAAAGCUAGCAUCUACGUGGUUAGAAGGAUCCGGGCUUCCAUCGCUGAAGGAGAGCAACAGGAGAAGCCCAUCCUGACACCAUGUAGUGCUAUUGCUGGAAAGAGAGCGGGACAGGGGUUAAGAGAAAAAGCCUCAGCUGCAUCACUGAGCCCAGGAUCUGAUGAAGGCGUCUUAGAAGCAGCAGGGCCGGGGACGUCAUCAGAGACAGCCGUGCAGAAAUGUGGCUCCUGAUGUUAAAGACUACGCUGGACACUAGGACCAUGGACAAGUCAAUGGAAAUAAAUAAUCGAUUAUGUAUUUAAUUUCAUUUUUGGGGGGUACUCAUUCAUUUUAUACACUAAACAGUUUAUGUGUGAAGAUCUACAUUGUUAUUUUUCUUUUACACAAAAGCAAACAUCAAACAAACAAGAAAUAUUAUUCCAGCACUGUCCAUGUUGUAUGUUGUACCCAGUGGUCAAAUUUUUAUUACUUGAGACAUUUUGACUUGCCACACCAUGAAGUUGGCAUAGCUAAUAGAAAAUAUCACUAUAAUAACAUUACCCAAAAUCAGUUUUAAAAAAAAGUCUGCAUAUGUUAUCAAGUGUGAGUGGUAGGUCAACAUGUUCUCUGUAAGUAAAAUCUGAAGUUUAUCUGCUGCAGUGUUUGAAGGCUGGCUCACCAACCUCUUUCCAGGGGCUGAGCUGGCCUGAUGUUUCUGCUGUUACAUCAAUAAAUUAUAAAAAUGC